rnacentral:tRNA from 1 species
CCAAGAAGACAAGGGCCCUAUUCAAAAGUUCUCCCCCUCAUACAAUAAAGGGGAGAGUGGGAACAUAAUAGCUAGGUCUGCCCUCUCUUUCCCAUCUCUCCUGCCAGCCUCACCACCUUCCACAUACUGGAAGGCAGGUGUCUGCAGCAGAGAGUCCGGUGUACUCAUUGAGUCUCCUCACCUGCUUUAUAACCCUGCGUGAUCAGAACUUCAGACUUGAACACACAGAAAACAAUCAAAUUGGAUAGCUCAGUUGGUAGAGCAUGAGACUCUUAAUCUCAGGGACAUGGGUUCAAGCCCCACAUUGGGCAAAAGAUUCCUGCAUUGCAGGGCAUUGGACUAGAUGGUCUUCAUGGUCCCUUCCAACUCUACUCUACAAUUCUGUGAUUCUAUGCAGAGGCUGAAGAGACACCAUGGAGGGGGUAGCAAGGAUGUCUACACUCUCCUCCCAAGCAUGCCUGAAUAGGGCUAAGAUGUCAAAAUAGGACAAUUCUAUUGUCCAGGAUCUAGGUUUUUUAAGGGUGUGCACUGAUUUUGAGAAUACUCAUCACCCUUAACUGAGCUUUGGUGAACCUGUUCUCAAAGCGCCACUGGCUGGUACUGGCAGAAGCACCACACAUGAGUGCACAGAUAGUUGAAAGACAUAUCACCUUACUCAAAUAUCAGCUUUGAUACUUAUUUUAUUAUCUUCCAGAUGCUCUUUCCAGUAACCUGGUUACUGUGAAGCUGAACCUCCAGAAAUUGCUUUCUGAAAAUUACAGGAAGGAUCACUGGCCAUGCAGUGGCAACCCAAUACUUCUUUCAAUCCAGAUCGGUGGGAUACUACACUGACAUUAGAAGUCUAGCAGCACAAACCUGGCUAUGGCUACUCAGAAUUCCUGGCAGGACACGCGGCUGUUUAAAGUUGGAAUUUGAGCUGUGUGGACAUUUUGACCCUGAUCCAGAGGUGAUUCGUGCGACUAGUGGCGAUUUGUGUGGACACUGUGGCUGGGAGAAGUACCCAGGGCCAGAUUCGUGUUUGAUGAGGCCCUAA